rnacentral:rRNA from 1 species
UACGGAGGAUCCAAGCGUUAUCCGGAUUUAUUGGGUUUAAAGGGUGCGUAGGUGGCCUGGUAAGUCAGGGGUGAAAGACGGUAGCUUAACUAUCGCAGUGCCUUUGAUACUGCCGGGCUUGAAUAAACUAGAGGUAGGCGGAAUGUGACAAGUAGCGGUGAAAUGCAUAGAUAUGUCACAGAACACCAAUUGCGAAGGCAGCUUACUAAAGUAUGAUUGACGCUGAGGCACGAAAGCGUGGGGAUCAAACAGG